CUUGGUCAUUUAGAGGAAGUAAAAGUCGUAAAAGGUUUCCGUAGGUGAACCUGCGGAAGGAUCAUUAUUGAAUACGUUGGACUGUUGCUGGCUCUUCACUGAGCAUGUGCACGUCCAUCUAUUUAUCUUUCUUGUGCACCUUUUGUAGUCUUUUUCUGAAAAAGAGCGAGCAGAGGCAUCUGCUUUUGCUCUUUUUCAGAGGGGCUACGUUUUCAUAUACACUAUUAAGUUACAGAAUGUCUUUUAAAGAUUGUGCUAGCCGCAGUCAUUAAACCUUACAACUUUCAGCAACGGAUCUCUUGGCUCUCCCAUCGAUGAAGAACGCGCGAAAUGCGAUAAGUAAUGUGAAUUGCAGAAUUCAGUGAAUCAUCGAACUUUGAACGCACCUUGCGCCCUUUGGUAUUCCGAAGGGCAUGCCUGUUUAGUGUCAUUAAAUUAUCAACCUUUUUGCUUUGCUUGCGAAGCAUCUAGGUUGGAUGUGGGGGUUUUUGCUGGCUUCCUUCAGUGGAUGGUCUGCUCCCUUAAAUGCAUUAGCGGGAUCUCUUGUGGACCGUCACUUGGUGUGAUAAUAUCUAUACCACUUGGCCUUGAAGCAAAUCUUAUGAGGACCCGCUCAUAACGUCCCUCUGGGACAACUCUUGACAUUUUGACCUCAAAUCAGGUAGGACACCCGCUGAACUUAAGCAUAUCAAUAAGCGGAGGA
rnacentral:rRNA from 1 species